rnacentral:rRNA from 1 species
GACGAACCGUGCGAACGUUGUUCGGAAUCACUGGGCUUAAAGGGCGCGUAGGCGGGCUGUCAAGUCCGGGGUGAAAUCCUCCCGCUCAACGGGAGAACGGCCUCGGAUACUGACGAUCUCGAGGGGGAUAGGGGCACGCGGAACUGUGGGUGGAGCGGUGAAAUGCGUUGAUAUCCAUAGGAACUCCGGUGGCGAAAGCGGCGUGCUGGAUCUCUUCUGACGCUGAUGCGCGAAAGCCAGGGGAGCAAACGGG